UACGUAGGGUGCUAGCGUUGUUCGGAAUCACUGGGCGUAAAGGGCGUGUAGGCGGUCCGCUAAGUCCGAUGUGAAAUCCCCUCGCUCAACGAGGGAACUGCGUCGGAUACUGGCAGACUCGAGUACCGGAGAGGCAGGUGGAAUUCCCGGUGUAGCGGUGAAAUGCGUAGAUAUCGGGAGGAACAUCGGUGGCGAAGGCGGCCUUCUGGACGGAUACUGACGCUGAGACGCGAAAGCGUGGGGAGCAAACAGG
rnacentral:rRNA from 1 species